rnacentral:rRNA from 1 species
GAUGAACGCUGGCGGCGUGCCUAAUACAUGCAAGUCGAGCGAACAGACCAGGAGCUUGCUCCUCUGACGUUAGCGGCGGACGGGUGAGUCCCACGUGUAUAACCUACCUAUAAGACAGGGAUACCUUCGGCAAACCGGCGCUACUACCGGAUAAUAUAUUGCACCGCGUGGGUCAAUAGUGAAAUUCGGUUUUGCUGUCACUUAUAGCUGGAUCCGCGCCGCAUUCGCUAGUUGGUAAGGUAACGGCUUACCAAGGCACCGAUGCGUAGCCGACCUGACAGGGUGAACGGCCACACGGGAAGUGAGGCACGGCCCAGACACCUACGCGAGGCAGCAGUAGGGAAUCUUACGCAAUGGGGGAGAGCCUGACGGAGCAACGCCGCGUGAGUGAUGAAGGUGUUCGGAUCGGAAAACUCUGUUAGUAGGGAAGAACAAAUGUGUUAGUAACUAUGCACGUCUUGACGGUACCUAAUCAGAAAGCCACGGCUAACUACGUG